UCCAACAGUGUCGGUGAGUGAAUUAUUUGCUGUGCUCAUGACAACUGUGGUGUUGCAAUAAAAACGAAACCACCGCUUUCUAACUUUUCAGACGGAGACACCUCCCCGUGGGCCUGGGCCUCGGGCAUGGAGCCCCCGAGGCCGCUGAUCGGUGGCCUUCUGCUGUGCUCUCUGUCCUGCCUCCUGCUGGAAACCGGAGCAUCCUCGCUGUCACCUUUAUCUGCCUUCGGGAUUAAGGACGGAGCAGGACUGAAACCACGCUCGAGGGGUGUGUUUGCUGUUAGGGCGCAUUGUCCCCUCUUCAUAGGACUUUAGGUUCCUGUCUCCGGUCAGAGAAGCCCAGGUCUGGGCUGAGCCCCUUCGCGGAUUACCUGGGGGACCUCAUCCGGAGCUCCAUCCCCCCAGCAGCCGUUUUUGCGUUUCUUAUCAGCUCAGCAAUAAUGGGGAGCCUCUGCUGCCUCACGAUUCUCAUAGGUGAACCAGUGCAAUGACGUCUAGAAGAUGCAGUUGGGCAAGCAGAGGGUUUGGCUUGCUGGAUUGCAAGAGAGUGGAGAGUGGCUUACAUGGAGGAAGCACCUAUCAGUUAAAAUUAAAUUGUCUUCCUGCUUAAACUACCUUUCUCU